GAUAUUUCUCUUAUUUUGGGCCGGGUAUAUUGGGCCCAUUUAUCAGUUUAAUCUGUUGGGCUUUUAUAAUUAAGUCAUGGGACUCUUUGAGCCCAUUUAUUGUGUCAACUUUAUUUAAUCCUAUUGGACCGGGUCGGUUCGUUGAAUUAACUCAUUGGGUCAUUUAAUAUCUAUUACUUUGACUUGUAAUGAUGAUAUAGUAUGACAGUUGACCAAGAUAUUUGCCAUGCAUUAAUGUGGAUGGGAUUAUAGUCGGCCGGCGGUGCAAACAGUGGCCAAGAGCAGUGGAUGAACUCCAUGCAGUCGGUCGAACCCAUCAGGUCAGGGGGAUAUGUCAGGUGAUAGUGGGCGGCACGAUAAUCCAAGCAAGGAUAUUAUUUCUUAGUGAGUAAGUCUUCACAAGGAGGUACGUUUCAUUCAUA
rnacentral:lncRNA from 1 species